rnacentral:rRNA from 1 species
GUCGAACGGUAGAGGGGGCAACCCCUCGAGAGUGGCGAACGGGUGAGUAAUAUAUCGGAACGUGCCCAGUCGUGGGGGAUAACGUAGCGAAAGUUACGCUAAUACCGCAUACGAUCUACGGAUGAAAGCGGGGGAUCGCAAGACCUCGCGCGAUUGGAGCGGCCGAUAUCAGAUUAGGUAGUUGGUGGGGUAAAGGCUCACCAAGCCAACGAUCUGUAGCUGGUCUGAGAGGACGACCAGCCACACUGGAACUGAGACACGGUCCAGACUCCUACGGGAGGCAGCAGUGGGGAAUUUUGGACAAUGGACGCAAGUCUGAUCCAGCCAUUCCGCGUGCAGGAUGAAGGCCCUCGGGUUGUAAACUGCUUUUGUACGGAACGAAAAGGUUUCUAUUAAUACUAGGAGCUCAUGACGGUACCGUAAGAAUAAGCACUGGCUAACUACGUGCCAGCAGCCGCGGUAAUACGUAGGGUGCAAGCGUUAAUCGGAAUUACUGGGCGUAAAGCGUGCGCAGGCGGUUAUGUAAGACAGAGGUGAAAUCCCCGGGCUCAACCUGGGAACUGCCUUUGUGACUGCAUAGCUAGAGUACGGUAGAGGGGGAUGGAAUUCCACGUGUAGCAGUGAAAUGCGUAGAGAUGUGGAGGAAUACCAAUGGCGAAGGCAGCCCCCUGGGAUAAUACUGACGCUCAUGCACGAAAGCGUGGGGAGCAAACAGGAUUAGAUACCCUGGUAGUCCACGCCCUAAACGAU